rnacentral:rRNA from 1 species
GAUGAACGCUGGCGGCGUGCCUAAUACAUGCAAGUCGAGCGAACAGGCGAGGCGCUUGCUCCUCUCACGUUAGCGGCACACGUGUGAGUAACACGUGUAUCACCUCCCUAUCAGACUGGGAAAACUUCGGGAAACCGGAGCUAAUACCGGAUAAGAUCUUGAUCCACAUGGUUGAAUAGUAAAAGACGGUUUUGCUGUAACUUAUAGCUGGAUCCCCGCCGCAUUAGCUAGUUGGUGAGGUAACGGCUUACGAAGGCAACGAUGCGUAGCCGACCUGAGAGGGUGAUCGGCCACACUGGAACGGAGACACGGUCCAGACUCCUACGGGAGGCAGCAGUAGGGAAUCUUCCGCAAUGGGCGAAAGCCUGACGGAGCAACGCCGCGUGAGUGAUGAAGGUCUUCGGAUCGUAAAACUCUGUUAUUAGGGAAGAACAAAUGUGUAAGUAACUAUGCACGUCUUGACGGUACCUAAUCAGAAAGCCACGGCUAACUACGUG